GUAGCUGUAAAAACUGUAGCUGUAUCAACCACAAGAGUAGACUGAGACUCAUGAUCAUCAACUGAUUCAGCAAGAAACUGACCUAAACAGGCUUGUUCACAAAGGACAUAGUGAAGCUAGUCCAGGCUUUUAGAUAUUGCAACUGACAAGAAAAGAACACUGAAAUAGCACUAAAUAAUGAAAUGAUUAUGCUUUCUAGUGUUGCUGUGGUGGCCCACUGUGAUUGGCACCAAAGUCUUACCACCUCGAGCUCCUCCUUUAUUUAGUCUCUCUUCAUCACCUUGUUAUCAGCCUGCCAUUUAUGCAUUCAUAAUGAUAAGAUUUUCAUAAAAAAUUGAAAUUAUAAUUGCAACAACUGUUAUUAACUAUCAAUUAACCAUAGAAUAACUAUUAA